rnacentral:rRNA from 1 species
CGAGCGGCGAACGGGUGAGUAACACGUGAGCAACCUGCCCCUGACUCCGGGAUAAGCGGUGGAAACGCCGUCUAAUACCGGAUACGACCCGCCAUCUCAUGGUGGUGGGUGGAAAGUUUUCUCGGUUGGGGAUGGGCUCGCGGCCUAUCAGCUUGUUGGUGGGGUAACGGCCUACCAAGGCGAUUACGGGUAGCCGGCCUGAGAGGGCGACCGGCCACACUGGGACUGAGACACGGCCCAGACUCCUGCGGGAGGCAGCAGUGGGGAAUAUUGCGCAAUGGGCGAAAGCCUGACGCAGCGACGCCGCGUGGGGGAUGACGGCCUUCGGGUUGUAAACCUCUUUUACCACCAACGCAGGCUCCCAGUUCUCUGGGGGUUGACGGUAGGUGGGGAAUAAGGACCGGCUAACUACGUGCCAGCAGCCGCGGUAAUACGUAGGGUCCGAGCGUUGUCCGGAAUUAUUGGGCGUAAAGAGCUCGUAGGCGGCGUGUCGCGUCUGCUGUGAAAGACCGGGGCUUAACUCCGGUUCUGCAGUGGAUACGGGCAUGCUAGAGGUAGGUAGGGGAGACUGGAAUUCCUGGUGUAGCGGUGAAAUGCGCAGAUAUCAGGAGGAACACCGGUGGCGAAGGCGGGUCUCUGGGCCUUACCUGACGCUGAGGAGCGAAAGCAUGGGGAGCGAACAGGAUUAGAUACCCUGGUAGUCCAUGCCGUAAACGUUGGGCGCUAGGUGUGGGGACUUUCCACGGUUUCCGCGCCGUAGCUAACGCAUUAAGCGCCCCGCCUGGGGAGUACGGCCGCAAGGCUAAAACUCAAAGGAAUUGACGGGGGCCCGCACAAGCGGCGGAGCAUGUUGCUUAAUUCGACGCAACGCGAAGAACCUUACCAAGGUUUGACAUCACCCGUGGACCUGCAGAGAUGUGGGGUCAUUUAGUUG